AACGAACGCUGGCGGCAUGCCUAACACAUGCAAGUCGAACGAUGCUUUCGGGCGUCGUGGCGCACGUGUGCGUAACGCGUGGGAAUCGGCCCUUGGGUUCGGUAUAACAGUUAGUAAUUGCUGCUAAUACCGGGUGAUGUCUUCUGACCAAAGAUUUAUCGCCCAGGGAUGAGCCUGCGUAGGAUUAGCUAGUUGGUGGGGUAAUGGCCUACCAAGGCGACGAUCCUUAGCUGGUCUGAGAGGAUGAUCAGCAACACUGAGACUGAGAAACGGCCCAGACUCCUACAGGAGGCAGCAGUGGGGAAUAUUGGACAAUGGGCGCAAGGCUGAUCCAGCGAUGCCGCGUGAGUGAUGAAGGCGUGAGGGUUGUAAAGCUCUUUUACCCGCGAUGAUAAUGACAGUACCGGGAGAAUAAGCACCGGCUAACUCCGUG
rnacentral:rRNA from 1 species